rnacentral:rRNA from 1 species
AGAGUUUGAUCCUGGCUCAAUUGAACGCUGGCGGCAUGCUUUACACAUGCAAGUCGAACGGUAACCGGUCUUCGGAUGCUGACGAGUGGCGAACGGGUGAGUAAUACAUCGGAACGUGCCUAGUAGUGGGGGAUAACUACUCGAAAGAGUAGCUAAUACCGCAUGAGAUCUACGGAUGAAAGCAGGGGACCUUCGGGCCUUGUGCUACUAGAGCGGCUGAUGGCAGAUUAGGUAGUUGGUGGGGUAAAGGCUUACCAAGCCUGCGAUCUGUAGCUGGUCUGAGAGGACGACCAGCCACCCUGGGACUGAGACACGGCCCAAACUCCUACGGGAGGCAGCAGUAGGGAAUUUUGGACAAUGGGCGAAAGCCUGAUCCAUCAAUGCCGCGUGCAGGAUGAAGGCCCUCGGGUUGUAAACUGCUUUUGUACGGAACGAAAAGCCUGGGGCUAAUAUCCCCGGGUCAUGACGGUACCGUAAAAAUAAACACCGGCUAACUACGUGCCACCAGCCGCGGUAAUACGUAGGGUGCAAGCGUUAAUCGAAAUUACUGGGCGUAAAGCGUG